GGGGAUAAAUUAAUAAAAUAUAAUUAAUAAAAAAAUUUUUUAUAUUGGGGGGUAUUAAAGUAUUUUUUAAAGAAAAAAUAAAAAGUUUUAUAGUGAAUUAGUAUUGUAAAAUAAAUUUGAAAUAAAAUUGAAAAUGAAAUAAAAAAAAAGUAAAUUUAAUUUAUUGUAUCUUGUGUAUCAGAGUUUAUUUAAAAAUAUUUAGUAAAUAAUAAAAUCUCGAAUUUAAAAGAGUUAAUUAAUUAUAAAAGUUAAUGUUGAAUAAUUAUUUUAAAUAAUUAAUUUGAAAUGAAAUGUUAAUCGUUUUUAAAUAUAUCUAGUUUUUUUAGAAAAAAAUUUAAUUUUGAAUUUAAAAAAUUUUUUAUUUAAUUAAUUAAAUAAAAAAUUUUAAAAUUAAAUAUUUUAAGGGAUAAGCUUUAAUUUAUAUAUUUAUAAUAAAAAUGAUUUUAUUAAAAUUUUUAAAAUUUAUAUUGUUUAAAAAUUAUAGUUUAUUAAAAAAAAUUUUAUAAUAAAUAAAAUUUAAUAAUUAUAUUUAAUUUUUUAUAAAAGAAUAUUUUUUAAUAAGAAGAUUAUAGAAAUAAUGAUAAAAUUAGUAUAUUAUUAAUUAAGAAUUUAAAUAUAAAUUAAAAUUAAUUUAAAGGAAUUCGGCAAAAUUUUAUAUUCACUUGUUUAUCAAAAACAUGUCUUUUAGGAAAUAAUUUAAAGUCUAAUCUGCCCACUGAUUAAAAAAAAAUUAAGGGCUGCAGUAUAUUGACUGUACAAAGGUAGCAUAAUCAUUAGUCUCUUAAUUGGAGACUUGUAUGAAAGAUUUGAUGAAAUAUAAACUGUCUCUAAAUUAUUAAUAAAAAUUAAUUUUUUAGUUAAAAAGCUAAAAUUUAUUUAAAAGACGAGAAGACCCUAUAGAGUUUUAUAAUGAUAAUAAUUAAAAUCAAAUAUUUAAUUAUAAAUUAAAAUUAUUAUUAUUAUUUUGUUGGGGUGAUAGAAAAAUUAAAAAACUUUUUUUAUGAAAAAUCAUAAAUAAGUGAGUUAUUGAUCCAUAUUAAUAAUGAUUAUAAGAAAAAAUUACCUUAGGGAUAACAGCGUAAUUUUUUUUUUUAGUACAAAUAAAAAAAAAGGUUGCGACCUCGAUGUUGGAUUAAGAUAAAAAUUAAAUGCAAAAGUUUAAAAUUUUGAUCUGUUCGAUCAUUAAAAUCUUACAUGAUCUGAGUUCAAACCGGUGUGAGCCAGGUUGGUUUCUAUCUUUAAGAAAUUAAAAUAUUUUA
rnacentral:rRNA from 1 species